CGGCACAGCCAGCGCCGUCCCCUCAGCCGCCCCGGCCGGCGGGGCUGCGGCUGCUCCGUCCUUCUUCCUCCUUGCCUCUUCCUCCUCCCUCCUCCUCCUUCUCCCUCCUCCCUCCUCCUCCUCCUCUCAGCAGCCGGCCGCGGGUGAGGAGAAGCGGGGACCGCGGCCGACAUGUGAAACGGGGCAGCCCCCUCGCCGCCUCCUCGCCUCAGGCUCUUCUUCCCCGGCUCUUGCUGGGGCCCCGCUCGUCAUGAAGAAGUUUUCCCGUAUGCCCAAGUCCGAGGGGAGCGGCGGCGGCGGCGGGACGGCGUGCGGCGGCUCCGGCAGCGGCGUGGCCCUGGGCAGGGCGCUGGCGGUGGGGCGGUACCAGGUGACCCCCGAGGAGCCGCUGGCCGAAGAUUUUGCUCUGAGUAUUUUUAGGAAGGCAGCUCCUGGUUCUGUAGAGGGUUGAGGCUCCCAGUAACUAGUGUCGGUCGUGGUUCUCUGAGGCUCAAGUCGUGAUGACCUUGUUAGGCUGCAGGGAUGGAUCUUUGGGCUUGAGAUGUUUAAAGUGCAUAAAUAAACAAAGACCUUGCCAGGUUUCAAGUUCUCUUAGUACCA